GAUGAACGCUGGCGGCGUGCUUAACACAUGCAAGUCGAACGGUGAAGGCGGAGCUUGCUCUGCUGGACCAGUGGCGAACGGGGGAGUAACACGCGAGCAAUCCGCCCCUGACUCUGUGAUAAGCGCUGGAAACGGCGUCUAAUACAGGAUACGAGAUGUGAAGGCAUCUUGAGCAGCUGGAAAGAACGGCGGUCAGGGCUGAGCUCGCGGCCUAUCAGCUGGUUAGUGAGGUAAUGGCUCACAAAGGCUUCGACGGGUAGCCGGCCUGAGAGGGUGACCGGCCACACUGGGCCUGAGACACGGCCCAGACUCCUACGGGAGGCAGCAGUGGGGAAUAUUACACAAUGGGCGCGCGCCUGAUGCAGCAGCGCCGCGUGCGGAACGACGGCCUACGGGUUGUAAACCUCUUUUUGCGGAGAAGAAGCGAAAGUGACGGUACCUGCAGAGAAAGCGCCGGCUAACUACGUG
rnacentral:rRNA from 1 species